rnacentral:rRNA from 1 species
UACGAAAGGGGCUAGCGUUGUUCGGAUUUACUGGACGUAAAGCGCACGUAGGCGGUCUUGUAAGAUGGGGGUGAAAUCCCCGGGCUCAACCCGGGAACUGCCUUCAUGACUGCAAAGCUAGAGGAUGCGAGAGGUUGGCGGAAUUCCGAGUGUAGAGGUGAAAUUCGUAGAUAUUCGGAAGAACACCAGUGGCGAAGGCGGCCAACUGGCUCAUUUCUGACGCUGAGGUGCGAUAGCUUGGAGAGCAAACAGG